CCUACGGGCGGCUGCAGUGGGGAAUAUUGCACAAUGGGCGCAAGCCUGAUGCAGCCAUGCCGCGUGUGUGAAGAAGGCCUUCGGGUUGUAAAGCACUUUCAGCGGGGAGGAAGGCGGUGAGGUUAAUAACCUCAUCGAUUGACGUUACCCGCAGAAGAAGCACCGGCUAGCUCCGUGCCAGCCGCCGCGGUAAUACGGAGGGUGCAAGCGUUAAUCGGAAUUACUGGGCGUAAAGCGCACGCAGGCGGUCUGUCAAGUCGGAUGUGAAAUCCCCGGGCUCAACCUGGGAACUGCAUUCGAAACUGGCAGGCUAGAGUCUUGUAGAGGGGGGUAGAAUUCCAGGUGUAGCGGUGAAAUGCGUAGAGAUCUGGAGGAAUACCGGUGGCGAAGGCGGCCCCCUGGACAAAGACUGACGCUCGGGUGCGAAAGCGUGGGGAGCAAACAGGAUUAGAUACCCUUGUAGUC
rnacentral:rRNA from 1 species